UGGGGAAUCUUCCGCAAUGGACGAAAGUCUGACGGAGCAACGCCGCGUGAGUGAUGACGGCCUUCGGGUUGUAAAGCUCUGUUAAUCGGGACGAAUGGUUCUUGUGCGAAUAGUGCAAGGAUUUGACGGUACCGGAAUAGAAAGCCACGGCUAACUACGUGCCAGCAGCCGCGGUAAUACGUAGGUGGCAAGCGUUGUCCGGAAUUAUUGGGCGUAAAGCGCGCGCAGGCGGAUUGGUCAGUCUGUCUUAAAAGUUCGGGUCUUAACCCCGUGAUGGGAUGGAAACUGCCAAUCUAGAGUAUCGGAGAGGAAAGUAGAAUUCCUAGUGUAGCGGUGAAAUGCGUAGAUAUUAGGAAGAACACCAGUGGCGAAGGCGACUUUCUGGACGAAAACUGACGCUGAGGCGCGAAAGCCAGGGGAGCGAACGGG
rnacentral:rRNA from 1 species